rnacentral:rRNA from 1 species
UACGUAGGGUGCGAGCGUUAAUCGGAAUUACUGGGCGUAAAGCGUGCGCAGGCGGUCUGUUAAGACCGAUGUGAAAUCCCCGGGCUUAACCUGGGAACUGCAUUGGUGACUGGCAGGCUUUGAGUGUGGCAGAGGGGGGUGGAAUUCCACGUGUAGCAGUGAAAUGCGUAGAGAUGUGGAGGAACACCGAUGGCGAAGGCAGCCCCCUGGGCUAACACUGACGCUCAUGCACGAAAGCGUGGGGAGCAAACAGG